rnacentral:rRNA from 1 species
CCUACGGGAGGCAGCAGUGAGGAAUAUUGGUCAAUGGGCGGAAGCCUGAACCAGCCAAGUAGCGUGCGGGAUGAAGGCCCUACGUGUCGUAAACCGCUUUUGCACGGGGAUAACACCCUCCACUUGUGGCGGUCUGCAGGUACCGUGCGAAUAAGGGCCGGCUAAUUCCGUGCCAGCAGCCGCGGUAGUACGGAAGGCCCGAGGGUUAUCCGGAUUUAUUGGGCUUAAGGGGUGGGUAGGCGGGCGUUAAAGUCAGCUGUAAAAUCGAGCGGCGAAACAGCGCCUCGCAGUUGAAACUGGAAGUAUUGAGUACACAACAGGCAGGCGGAAUGCGAGGUGUAGCGGUGAAAUGCAUAGAUAUCACGAGGAACCCCGAUUGCGAAGGCAGCUUGCCGGGGUGCGACUGACGCUGAGGCUCGAAGGUGCGGGUAUCAAACAGGAUUAGAUACCCUUGUAGUC